rnacentral:rRNA from 1 species
GAUGAACGCUGGCGGCGUGCCUAAUACAUGCAAGUCGAGCGGACGCACGAGAAGCUCGCUUCUCUGAUGUUAGCGGCGGACGGGUGAGUAACACGUGGAUAGCCUACCUAUUAGACUGGGAGAACUUCGGGAAACCGGAUCUAAUACUGGCUAAUACUUUGAACCGCAUGGUUCAAAAGUGAAAGGCACUCUUCCUGUCACUUAUAGACGGAUCCGGGUUGCAUUAGCUAGUUGGUAAGGUAACGGCUUACCAAGGCAACGAUGCUUAGCCGACCUGAGAGGGUGAUCGGCCACACUGGAACUGAGACACGGUCCAGACUCCUACGGGAGGCAGCAGUAGGGAAUCUUCGGCAAUGGGCGAAAGCCUGACGGAGCAACGCCGCGUGAGUGAUGAAGGUCUUCGGAUUGUAAAACUCUGUUAUUAGGGAAGAACAUAAGUGUAAUUAUCUGUGCACGUCUUGACGGUACCUAAAGAGAAAGCAACGGCUAACUACGUG